UACGGAGGGGGGCUAGCGUUGUUCGGAAUCACUGGGCUUAAAGCGUAUGUAGGCGGGUUGGUAAGUACUUUGUGAAAUCCCACGGCUUAACCGUGGAAUUGCUUGGUAUACUGCCGAUCUUUGAGUCAUUUAGGGGCAGCCGGAACAGAUGGUGGAGCGGUGAAAUGCGUAGAUAUCAUUUGGAACGCCAAUGGUGAAAAACAGGUAGCUGGGGGAUGUGCUGACGCUGAGACACGAAAGCCAGGGGGAGCGAACGGGG
rnacentral:rRNA from 1 species